ensembl:lncRNA
UUAUGUUUUCUCUAUGUAUGUUUAUAUUUUCUCUAUGCAUGUUUGUUUUCUCUAUGCAUGUUUAUGUUUUCUCUAUGCAUGUUUAUGUUUUCUCUAUGCAUGUUUAUAUUUCUCUCUAUGUAUGUUUAUGUUUUCUCUAUGCAUGUUUAUGUUUUCUCUAUGCAUGUUUAUAUUUUCUCUAUGCAUGUUUAUGUUUUCUCUAUGCAUGUUUAUGUUUUCUCUAUGCAUGUUUAUAUUUUCUCUAUGCAUGUUUGUUUUCUCUAUGCAUGUUUAUAUUUUCUCUAUGCAUGUUUAUAUUUUCUCUAUGCAUGUUAAUUUUAUAUAUGCAUGUUUAUGGUUUCUCUAUACCUGUUUAUAUUUUCUCUAUGCAUGUUUGUUUUCUCUAUGCAUGUUUAUAU